GACGAACGCUGGCGGCGUGCUUAACACAUGCAAGUCGAGCGGUAAGGCCCCUUCGGGGGUACACGAGCGGCGAACGGGUGAGUAACACGUGAGCAAUCUGCCCUUCACACGGGGAUAACCACCGGAAACGGUGGCUAAUACCCGAUACGACCACUUCAGGCAUCUGAUGGUGGUGGAAAGUUCCGGCGGUGAAGGAUGAGCUCGCGGCCUAUCAGCUUGUUGGUGGGGUAAUGGCCUACCAAGGCAACGACGGGUAGUCGGCCUGAGAGGGUGACCGGCCACACUGGGACUGAGACACGGCCCAGACUCCUACGGGAGGCAGCAGUGGGGAAUAUUGGACAAUGGGCGAAAGCCUGAUCCAGCAACGCCGCGUGAGGGAUGACGGCCUUCGGGUUGUAAACCUCUUUCAGCAGGGACGAAGCGCAAGUGACGGUACCUGCAGAAGAAGCACCGGCCAACUACGUGCCAGCAGCCGCCGCAGUAA
rnacentral:rRNA from 1 species